rnacentral:rRNA from 1 species
UUCCAGACUCCUACGGGAGGCAGCAGUGGGGAAUAUUGCACAAUGGGGGAAACCCUGAUGCAGCAACGCCGCGUGAGUGAAGAAGUAUUUCGGUAUGUAAAGCUCUAUCAGCAGGGAAGAGAAUGACGGUACCUGACUAAGAAGCCCCGGCUAACUACGUGCCAGCAGCCGCGGUAAUACGUAGGGGGCAAGCGUUAUCCGGAUUUACUGGGUGUAAAGGGAGGGUAGACGCAGUGCAAGUCUGGAGUGAAAGGCGGGGGCUCAACCCCCGGACUGCUCUGGAAACUGUACGGCUGGAGUGCAGGAGAGGUAAGUGGAAUUCCUAGUGUAGCGGUGAAAUGCGUAGAUAUUAGGAGGAACACCAGUGGCGAAGGCGGCCUGCUGGACGGUAACUGACGCUGAGGCUCGAAAGCGUGGGGAGCGAACAGGAUUAGAUACCCGAGUAC